rnacentral:rRNA from 1 species
AUUGAACGCUGGCGGCAUGCCUUACACAUGCAAGUCGAACGGCAGGAGGGGAGCAAUCCUGGUGGCGAGGGGCGAACGGGUGAGUAAUAUAUCGGAACGUGCCCAGUAGUGGGGGAUAACUGCUCGAAAGAGCAGCUAAUACCGCAUACGACCUGAGGGUGAAAGGGGGGGAUCGCAAGACCUCUCGCUAUUGGAGCGGCCGAUAUCAGAUUAGCUAGUUGGUGGGGUAAAGGCCGACCAAGGCAACGAUCUGUAGUUGGUCUGAGAGGACGAACAGCCAUACUGGGAUUGAGACACGGCCAGACUCCUACGGGAGGCAGCAGUGGGGAAUUUUGGACAAUGGGGGGAAGCCUGAUCUAGCAAUGCCGCGUGCAGGAAGAAGGUCUUCGGGUUGUAAACUGCUUUUGUCAGGGAAGAAAUCCUCUAGGUUAAUACCCUUGGGGGGAUGACGGUACCUGAAGAAUAAGCACCGGCUAACUACGUGCCAGCCGCCGCCGUAACAC